CGGAAGGCCCUUCGGGGUACUCGAGCGGCGAACGGGUGAGUAACACGUGAGCAACCUGCCCCAAGCUUUGGGAUAACCCUCGGAAACGGGGGCUAAUACCGAAUAUUACUUCUGGCCGCAUGGCUGGUGGUGGAAAGUUUUUCGGCUUGGGAUGGGCUCGCGGCCUAUCAGCUUGUUGGUGGGGUGAUGGCCUACCAAGGCGACGACGGGUAGCCGGCCUGAGAGGGCGACCGGCCACACUGGGACUGAGACACGGCCCAGACUCCUACGGGAGGCAGCAGUGGGGAAUAUUGCACAAUGGGCGGAAGCCUGAUGCAGCGACGCCGCGUGAGGGAUGACGGCCUUCGGGUUGUAAACCUCUUUCAGCAGGGACGAAGCGAGAGUGACGGUACCUGCAGAAGAAGCACCGGCCAACUACGUGCCAGCAGCCGCGGUAAGACGUAGGGUGCGAGCGUUGUCCGGAUUUAUUGGGCGUAAAGAGCUCGUAGGCGGCUUGUCGCGUCGACCGUGAAAACUUGGGGCUCAACCCCAAGCCUGCGGUCGAUACGGGCAGGCUAGAGUUCGGUAGGGGAGACUGGAAUUCCUGGUGUAGCGGUGAAAUGCGCAGAUAUCAGGAGGAACACCGGUGGCGAAGGCGGGUCUCUGGGCCGAUACUGACGCUGAGGAGCGAAAGCGUGGGGAGCGAACAGGAUUA
rnacentral:rRNA from 1 species